GCUGGCAUGGCGGAAUGGUAGACGCAAUGGACUUAAAAUCCAUCGAUCAUUAGAUCAUACGAGUUCGAGUCUCGUUGCCAGUA
rnacentral:tRNA from 1 species